GGAGAUAUCCCUCCGCAGAGCUGGGUCUGGCCGCGGGCGGGGAAGCAGGAAGUAAGGUGUCCAGCGCCGCGACCGGCUGGUCGUCCGCCUCGGCCCCCGCCCGCGUCCCCUUUCCCCCGGGGCGCAGCGCUACGGCGGGCGCGGGCCGCCCGGCGCAUUGUUCGCAGCCUUCGCGGCGGUGCGCUGCUGACUUUAUUUGUGCGCUUUGCGUGUGCGUGAGGUUGCACCUUUUGUAGGCUGGCGAGUCUCUGGACGAGGAUGGGACGGGGGACACGGGCCCAGUUGCGGCCCUGCGCGAGCGGGACCUGUCAGCCCUGAGGUGCAGCGGACCCUCCGGCAUGGCCGGAAAAUCGAGGCCGGGGAGAAGGCAGCGUGGCCGGGAAGCUGCCGCCUUAAACCCGGACCAGUGCAGGAUUGCUUCCUGCGUAGCCGUCCCGGUUAUUGUAACACGCUUUGCAAGCUAACGACUGGGAAUAAAGCCAAGUUGUGAUUUCGCCUCUACAGACCUCUCUACCCGCCCAGCUCUUCCUCGGAUAUUGUUGAAUGCAUUCACAUGGUUCCAAAUUCAAAUAAACAGCAAGAAGUCUCCCUCCCACCCUGUCUGCCACCCACUUGGUUUUCCUUCUCUGGAGGCAACCUGGGUUAGUGGUCAGAAGAUGCAUUUAACUGUUUUCCAGCUGAGGCCUUGUGAGAACUCCUCGGACACCAAUUUAAAUCUUUAUGUCCAGAACUCCUUUCUCCAAUCCAGAGAUGAGGUUCCACCAUUCUUGCCCAGACUGGUUUCGAACUCCUGGACUCAAGCGAUUUGCCUGCCUCGGCCUCAAAAAGUGCUGGGAUUACAUGCAUGAGCCACCACACCCGGACCCUCUCUCUUAAAUAGUGGCCCUUUUGCCUCUCUGCAACACAGGAAAAAUUCUGUUAGCCUGCAUCAGAAGGAGUGGCAUGGAGGCUUUGGAGUUAAGAAGAUUUAAUUCAAAUUAUGUGUCCGGUGCCUGCCAGCAAUGAGACCUUGGUAAGGUUUCUUAACCUCUCUGAGCUGGGACCAUACCUUCUGCGUUGGUUUAAUAUAAAGGUUAAAUGCAUGUAAAUAAAUGACUUCUAAAAUAAAUAACAUUCUAAAAUGUUAGUAACAACUAAAUACAAUAUUUAGAUCUUGUGAGGAUUUGAUUUGAAUAAAUAAGAUUUUUUUAAAAGACAUUUUUGAGACAAAAUGUAGACUAUCUGAUAUUAAGAAAUUAAUCACUUUUUCAGAUAUGAUAAUGGCAUUGCAGUUUUUUUUAAGUUCUUAUCUAUUACAGAUACAUAAUGAGGCAUUUUGAGUGAAAAUAUAUCUAGGAUUUGCUUUCCAAUACUCCAUCCCCUCCCCAUCAAAACACUAAAUAAAUGAAACAAGAUUAGUGAAAUACGGAAAAUUGUUGAAGUUAUUCAUUAUUCCAUUUCCCAUAUGGAACUUUCCAUACUAGUUUCCCUACUGCUGUUGAAUAUUUGACAUGUUUCAAAUACAUUUGAAAUAAAUUUAUUGUCUGAGAUGAUCAGGUUGAAAAAUAAUAAAAUGAAAUAAAUUUAAAAGUAAAAUAAACAUAACCCUUUUAAGCAUUAAAAUUAAAAAUUAUGAGGCUUGUUGAAUUAUUACUGUUAUAAAUAAUUACAUACAUGUAUUUUUGAAACAGUCUUGCUCUUUCACCCAGGCUGCAGUGCAGUGGCAUAAUCACAGUUCACUGCGGCCUCAACCUCCCAGGCUCAGGUGAUCCUUGCACGUCUGCCUCCCAAGUAGCUGGGACUGCAGGUGUGCACCACCAUGCCUGGCUAAAUUUUUCUCUUUUGUAGAGACGGGUUUUGCGAUUUUGCCCACACUGGUCUUAAAGUCCUGGG
rnacentral:lncRNA from 1 species